ACCACAUACAUACACAGAGAUGACAGAAAGGAAAAGAGGGAGCCUCCGUCGUUUCACCACCGUUCAGCCCAUCACCGCUGCCAUGUUGCCACCGAGCCGCGGGUCACGAUGGGAAGAGAGAGAGAGAGGCGCGCAGAGUUCAAAAGGAGAGAGAGAGGCCGAACGCGAGGGGGGAGGGAACCCUCAUCGUCGCCGUUCGUGGAGUCUGCGCCAGCACUGUCGUCGCUGUAGCGGAGGAGCGUCCCUAUCUCUGCGAGCUGCCGCCAUCGAAG
rnacentral:lncRNA from 1 species